GAACAACACCAAAUUCCCUACUCUGUUAUUAAAACAUGUUAGUUAGUCUUUGCUCUCCUCGGUGUUGUGGGUCUUGAUAGUCCUGAAGGGGAAUCUGAAGGUUCUCCUUUAUGAUAUCAACUUCAGUGUUACUAAUUAUUUUCUCAUUUUGCGUGAAUAACUCUUCUGAAUAUAGAAGUGGGGGGUGGCAUUCACAGUAAGCUCUCACUUAGCCACACUAAUAACAAGAAUAACUUAGGAAAUCACGUUUGGCUUGGGCAUGCCAUUUGAGAAGUGAGGGAGACAACAAUGUUCUGUUUAUUCUGUUCUUUGCUAAUGAUACUUUUCUUCAACUGCUAACAAAAAUCAGUUUAUGUUUUUCUGCACAUGUGUAAAGUUAUGGCCAAAAAAAAAAAAAAUCCAGAAAAUAUUGGAGGUUUCUAUAUGAGGUACAAGAAACUCAUAAAGCAGAGUUAUGAUCGAGUUAAGACUAUGACACCUCGCUGCCUGCCCGUGACUCUAUGAUAACUUCCAACACCUGUUCAAGACAGUUUCUCUUCAGCAUCAUCUUAAUCAUUUCCUCCCAGAGGUCUCAGUGUAAAAAUGUGUUUUUGCAAGCUUUUCUACCUUUGGCAAUAACACAGAAUCUUUUGCAUUUAAGCGUAUAAGCAUAUUAGGGGGGGAGGGUGUAGCUCAAGUGGUAGAGCGUGUGCUUAGCAUGCAUGAGGUCCUGGGUUCAAUCCCCAGUACCUCCUCUAAAAAUAAAUAAACUUAAUUACCUUCCCCCACCAAAAAAAAUUAUGAAGUUGGAUAAAUUGUAAUAGCUUUGUAUCCUAAGAGACCAUUAAUUAGCAUGAGUUAAUCAUUUAAAAAAUUAAGCAUAUAAGCUUAUAAUGACAUGCUUAAUUGUUACAGCUUAAAAGUCCACCAUCCUUUCCACUGUCCAAUGACAGAGCUGCCCCUCUGAAAUCUUAGUAAGUGGGGCAUUACUCUUUGGGCACUCUGUCUUCUAUUAUCCUCCUUCUUGACCAAUAUUCUUUUCCCCCCAACCAAAAAUUCAUUUGGCUUUGUGAAGCACUGACAUCAAAUCAUUAUCAAAUCAUCACUAGAAUUGGUUGGUAAAAUGUAGAAAACAUGUUAUUUAAUUUGUUUUAUAUGUUAUUAAACAUAGAAAAUAUGUUACUCAUAGGUAAGUAAAAGAAUAAGAACAUAAAAACUAUAUACAUGUAUAUUGCAUGGCAGUAACAAUAUUAAUAGGAGCAGUAAUAAUAAUAAUAAUGAUAGCUAACAAUUUAGAAACAAUCUUGCUAAGCACAGUUCCAAGUACUUUUCUUAUACAGAAGUUCACUGAAUCCUCACAAUAGCCCUCUUAACUACACUGCCCCUCUAGCCACAUCCAUGUGUACUUUAGAAAUAACUUUUACACAAACGAGCAUUCCUAUAGAGUACAAGCGGGGACCCCUUCUGGCCCUGGUGCAGUUAGAAGUGCAUCCUUCCCUUCACGGUGGCCGUGUAACAUCACACAGUUCCUGUAGCUAAACUCUUGAUACCCAAAUUCUCAAUGUGCUAACAGUAGACAGCGUUAAGAAGAAUUUCAGUAUUUAAGGAGACACUAGAAAUCAUUUUUCAUAAUAUUUCUGUACUUCAUGAUGGCAGAAUGCAGUCCAUAUACAUUGAAAAUUAUCCUAGGAAACAAUUAUUGUUUGGAGCCCUAAGGAAACAAACCCUGCUUUUUUAGUUUACAUGGAUUUAUUUAUAUGUUGGUCACUGAGAAUAGUGGUAAAAAGGUGAGGGUGAUAUUAUGCUAAUUAGUAAGUUUUCCCCUUUCUUAAGCAAAUACCUUCAGUGUCAACAAAAGACUAGUCAGUGGCAUUCAGCUUCUUUGAUUACGUACACACAUCAGUGAAAACUUUUAUGACACACCCUAAUGUAUUUUUAUUUAUAAAGUGUGUGUGUGUGUGUGUGUGUGUGUGUGUAGUGGUGUAAUAGGUACAUUUAUGAAAACAUAUCCAACAUAGAAUUUGAAAUAUUGGGAUAAAAAUAAAUACAAAUAGAAUUCUAACAGUUUCUUAUCACCUGCCUAGAAGUUUUAAUAUUUUCUUCCCACACCUCAGUGAAUUGCCUUGUACCCACUUUGAAGAUCGCUGGAAAAAUAGCUGAUGGUGUGGAAAUUGAGGAAGUUUCUUAGCCCAGCAGCCACAGAAUUUUGCAAGUAUUUCUUUGAAAACUUGCUUCACUCUGCUACUUUUCUUAUUUUUUUAACUCUUAGUGCUGCCAAGACAACAAUUCAGACAGUCUGCUGUCAUCAGAACAAGGAACGGCUACAGGAGUCCCACUUCUCCUCUGAAACCUUCUCUGACCCUGUAGAAAUAGGACGUGCUUUCUGCGCAUCCCCCCAAAUAACCCCAACGCUCCACUAGACCUUCAGCCCUGUGAAAAGAACUGAGGCUGAAGUACACCUGAAACUUGAAAAGAAAGUAUACCCUAAAUAUAAAUAUAACAUCUCAGAAUCA